AUGCACGCUGACAGAAUGCUUCACCCCUGCCAGUCGCUGGGGAAGUGGUGCUUGCACCAUGGCAACCAUGGCGGACGGGUGAGUAACGCGUAAGGGACUUACCUGCAGGACUGGGAUAACAGGGGGAAACUCCUGACAAGACCGGAUAAUGUCAUGGAGCUGCAUGGCUUUAUGAUGAAAGGAGACGCCUGCGGAGAGCCUUGCGUCCUAUUAGCUAGUUGGUGAGGUAAUGGCUCACCAAGGCGAAGAUAGGUAGCCGGCCUGAGAGGGUGGACGGCCACAAGGGGACUGAGAUACGGCCCUUACUCCUACGGGAGGCAGCAGUGGGGAAUAUUGGACAAUGGGGGCAACCCUGAUCCAGCAAUUCUGUGUGCACGAAGAAGGUUUUCGGGGUGUAAAGUGCUUUCAGCAGGGAAGAAGUAAGUGACGGUACCUGCAGAAGAAGCGACGGCUAAAUACGUG
rnacentral:rRNA from 1 species